rnacentral:rRNA from 1 species
GAAAGUUGGGGGCUCGAAGACGAUCAGAUACCGUCCUAGUCUCAACCAUAAACGAAUAAUUAGACGCGUUAAUUAAGUGCGUUACGUUUUAUGAUU